GAGAAAUUCAUCCCGCUUAAUGGGCUGCCUCGCUAAGCGAGCCAGCCUGGCUUCCAUAUAUAAACAGGCCCUAUUAAACUUCCCGAUAAAGGGCCUUUGCUCAAAACGUUCAAUUUGGCUUUGUAUUUCUAGAUAGUCGCAUCCCUGCCAACAAAAGCUUGUUUACAAAAGUUAGACUAUAUAGCUUCACUAACCCAAUAAGUUGUAUUGCGUCCUCAUGAAACCCACUUUCUUAUUUUACUCUGCCUAACGCCAGACAAUUUUACUUGCCAAGGGGACGAUGGGUAUCUCACUGUGUAUUUUCAGUUUCUCACUCUCUACUGUAUAUAAUAAAUAUCGUUAUCAAAAAAAUGAUAUUCAUUUGAUAAUAUAGACUACAGUAUAUCGAAUUAUGCAAAUUAGAAAACAUUUAUUGAGC